rnacentral:lncRNA from 1 species
CCUAGGUGGAGAUCACAGGCAUGAGACGCCAUAUUUGACUGGGAACUAGAUCUAGGGCAUUGCAUGUGCUAGGUAAGAACAGCACCACUGUUCUCUAUUCACAGCUAAUGGGUUAGUUUCAAGAUGCUUUUAAAAUGAUCAGAUGGUGCAGGGGGUUCUUGCUACAUCUCAGUAUCUAAUUAAGGACUGAUCGGGACAGUCAGACUCAUCAAAUGUUCUUCCUUUUUACUGAAGGGAGGGAAAGGCGCAGUGACAGUGUAGGCUGUGGGGUGGGGUACCCGCCACAGGCUCUUCCUGCCUGUCUCUGAGGAGAGGUAUUAAACCUGUCACACAGAAGGAAUUGUGCUUUGUCCUAGCUCUGUGCCUCAGAGGUAACCAUCUUCCCACUGCAGACCUUGCACGUGCAGACCCUGGCAACCAGGCUGGAGGGGGAGAAAGCGAUGCUCAGUGUAGCAGACCAGGGUCAGUUCCCAGCCAGCACUCACACGACAGCUCACAACUGUCUGUGACUCCAUUUCCACAGGAGCCCACAUCUGGCCUCUAUGGGCCCAAGGUACACAACUUGUUCACAUACACAUAUCCAGGCAAAUAUUCACACAUACAAAAGAAAAGGAAA